AAUACAUUGCAUCAGACUUUCAGAUUCGCCAACCCAAGUGUGCAUAUGUCUUUCCUGGACAAUUAUUUUAUUUUGCUACUAUGUUUGGUUUUUAUUUGCGUUUCAACAUCCAUUUCAUAGUGGUACAUGUGGCUUUGAUCAAUAUUACCAUAAAGACUGCUGAAAAUAGGUGUGGUACAGAAACCCAGAAAUGGCAUGAGUUCAACAUCAAACAUGAAUUAGAAUUUUAGCGGGGGAUCAAGUCAAGUCUGGAAGUGUUACAGGAUGGAAGAGUCGGCCUGUAGUUGAAAAAACACUGAGAGUGCAUUACUGUUAAGGUAUGAGGUAAAGUAUUAGUGUAAUGAAAAUUGUCUAAUGAGAAG